AUUGAACGCUGGCGGCAUGCCUUACACAUGCAAGUCGAACGGUAACAGGUCUUCGGAUGCUGACGAGUGGCGAACGGGUGAGUAAUACAUCGGAACGUGCCUAGUAGUGGGGGAUAACUACUCGAAAGAGUGGCUAAUACCGCAUGAGAUCUACGGAUGAAAGCAGGGGAUCGCAAGACCUUGUGCUACUAGAGCGGCCGAUGGCAGAUUAGGUAGUUGGUGGGAUAAAAGCUUACCAAGCCGACGAUCUGUAGCUGGUCUGAGAGGACGAUCAGCCACACUGGGACUGAGACACGGCCCAGACUCCUACGGGAGGCAGCAGUGGGGAAUUUUGGACAAUGGGCGCAAGCCUGAUCCAGCAAUGCCGCGUGCAGGAUGAAGGCCUUCGGGUUGUAAACUGCUUUUGUACGGAACGAAAAGCCCUGGGUUAAUACCCUGGGGUCAUGACGGUACCGUAAGAAUAAGCACCGGCUAACUACGAGCCAGCCGCCGCAGUAAUAC
rnacentral:rRNA from 1 species